GUUCCAUGCCAUUUGUGCCUUAGACUUCCCCCUUUGAGUGCUAAGAAUUCAAGAUCAUCAGAUGAAAACCAAGCAAACAAAGCUUCCCUGAGGUGGUUCCCAAGGAGAAGAGGGGAAGAUGAAUAUCUCAACACAACCUACUUGAAUUGUUACAGAAGCAGUUCAAAGGGCACCCUAAAGGGAAACAGGGAUUCCUCCCACACUCCAAGAACAGCUAGAAGAAGGAGGGAGGAGAAGGUCAGAAGAGCACAAGGUGGUAACAGCUCUCCUGAGCCUCCACCCAAUGCCAGAGAAGGAG